rnacentral:rRNA from 1 species
UACAGAGGUCCCAAGCGUUGUUCGGAUUCACUGGGCGUAAAGGGUGCGUAGGUGGUGAGGUAAGUCGGAUGUGAAAUCUCCGGGCUCAACCCGGAAAUGGCAUUGGAAACUACCUUGCUGGAGGAUUUGAGGGGGAUUGGAAUACUUGGUGUAGCAGUGAAAUGCGUAGAUAUCAAGUGGAACACCAGUGGCGAAGGCGAAUCCCUGGAAAAUACCUGACACUGAGGCACGAAAGCUAGGGGAGCAAACAGG